AACAAUGAGCAUGAUAAAGGAUUACCAAGCAGCCCUAGAACAAGCUCAUAGAAGAGGAGACGAAAUGGCGGCAAACCAUCGGUUAGACAUGGAAAGGGCCAAUCAUAGAGAAGAUCGACUCGCUUCUGAUUUGAAGGACCUUAUGGGGGCCUAUGAUGAACUCGUGAAUAAACAAAGAGAAUGGACCGCGGGCUGGGAUGAAACUCUCAUGGAAUCUGAACGGGCUAAAGAAUAG
rnacentral:lncRNA from 1 species